GCAGGUCUGGACAACGGCCACGUAAUGUAAGUUAGUUAGGAGUUGGCACACUCGUGCCUAGCCGAGCUAGGGCCAUGGCUCCCUCAAUACAAGUUAGUUAUGGAGUCUUUAAGUUUUGUACAUAAUGUGUUAGAAGAAGCGGAGAAUAAAAGUAUUUUAAGAUGUUAAACUAGUCUUGUCAUCCAGAACUUGAUUAAAGAACCAAUACUGUCACAUAUAAAUUGAUGCCGUAGACCAGACCAACGUUUUGAAGUCAUAACCACUAGGCGAUCAAAGAAUUCUCUCUAAGAAAGCACUCUGUGGCAUUGAAAGAAUUUUUGGAUAUAUCUGAUGAAGACCUUGAUACAAAGAUCAUCACUCUUCUCCAAAGCAAUCGUCGAUGUGGAGCAAAUUCAGUGAGAACUCAUUUACAGAAUAUUAGAACUUGGCUCCCAAGAGAGAGGGGGUUCGGGUAGCAUGAGACGUGUAGUUCCAGCAGCUAGGCGUUGUUCACAUAGAGUAAUAAAGAGUAGGACGUACAGAGUGCAUGGACCAAAUUCACUUUGGCACAUCGAUGGUAAUCACAAGUUAAUAAGAUGGUGGAUUGUGGUGCAUGGUGCUGUUGAUGGCCUCCACAAACAACCGAGCAUCAACAGUUUUGUAGCAGUAAACCAGUAUGGUGUGCCCCCGCGUAUUCGUGUAGAUAAAGGAGGAGAAACUGAAUCCAUUUGCCAACUGAUGGACGAUAGAAAAGGAACUAAUCAAUGCAGUGCAAUUCGUGGACGAAGCUUUCACAAUCAGCGUAUUGAAAGGUUAUGCUUAGAGGAGUGGAAUAACACCGUAAAUGUGUUUUACGAUAUCGUCCCUGCAUUUGACAGGGAUUUAGUUCUGAACCCUA